rnacentral:rRNA from 1 species
GAUGAACGCUGGCGGCGUGCUUAACACAUGCAAGUCGAACGAGAAGUGAAGACGGAACCCUUCGGGCGGAAGGCUUUUUUUCGAGUGGCGGACGGGUGAGUAACGCGUGGGUACCCUGCCUCAUACAGGGGGAUAACAGUUGGAAACGACUGUUAAUACCGCAUAAGACCACAGCACCGCAUGGUGCGGGGGUAAAAACUCCGGUGGUAUGAGAUGGACCCGCGUUCGAUUAGCCAGUUGGCGGGGUAACGGCCCACCAAAGCGACGAUCGAUAGCCGAUCUGAGAGGAUGACCGGCCACAUUGGGACUGAGACACGGCCCAAACUCCUACGGGAGGCAGCAGUGGGGAAUAUUGCACAAUGGGGGAAACCCUGAUGCAGCGACGCCGCGUGAGUGAAGAAGUAUUUCGGUAUGUAAAGCUCUAUCAGCAGGGAAGAAAAUGACGGUACCUGAGUAAGAAGCCCCGGCUAACUACGUG